UCUGGCGGCCGUAGCGCGGUGGUCCCACCUGACCCCAUGCCGAACUCAGAAGUGAAACGCCGUAGCGCCGAUGGUAGUGUGGGCCACCUGACCCCAUGCCGAACUCAGAAGUGAAACGCCGUAGCGCCGAUGGUAGUGUGGGGUCUCCCCAUGCGAGAGUAGGGAACUGCCAGAC
rnacentral:rRNA from 1 species